UUUUAUUCUCUCCAACCAAACACAAAAAUAUUUUUUAUCCUCCCUGCUUAAUCUGUCUCUCCUCUUCCUUCAAUUUUGGACAAAUAAAAAAUUACAAAGGAAGGAAGGAAGGAUGGUUGCUUCAUCCCUCUUUCCUUAAUUCUUCCCUCCAACUAAACAUAAAAAUAUAUUUUUGUCCCUCCCACCCCCAACCAAACAUGGCAUUAAUCUACUAUUCUUGCCUUAAAAAAAAAAAUUUAUUUGAGGGGGGGACCAAUCACACAUUGGGAAGCAUUAUAUCGUAUGGUUUGGGUAGAACGUUACAAAUUAUGUAGGGUACACAUGAUUAAAAUGGCAGAAGAGAGAACCACUGAUCCAUCUCGUCAACCAACCGGCAAUUUCCUGGUAAUUUCCUCCCAUCUACUUUCAUCACUCCCAAGAAAGUUUCAUUGGAGAGCUUUACUUCACCACUUACCCUCCUACUUGUAGCAGUUGAGAAAAAUCGAGUGUUGUUGGAGCCGAAGGGUACUGGAUCGAUGAUUGAAAUUCAAUUAUGGAUUACAACAUUUUAAGGCAUGAGGUGAAGAUUAUUCAAGGGGUUAUAAAAGAACUGGGGCAUAUACCAUUAAAUGUUGCCAAGUACCAAUUGGGGAUAGAUUCUCGUUCCAAAAAGUGAGCACUCUGCCAAACAAUGUGUUAAAGGAUGUGCGCAUUGUGCGGAAUUGUGGAACUGGGGGAAUAGGAUAGACAACCAUUGCCAAAGUUGUUUCCAACCGAAUAUUCAAUCAAUUUGAAAGUAAUUUUUUUCUUGAAAAUGUGAAAAGUUUCAAAAUUAUGGUCUAACAUAUCUGCAGCAAGAACUUUUUAAUGAGAUUCUAAUAGAAAAUGAGUUUUAAGUUAAAAAAAAAACUUUGGCAAGAGUUGUCUUUCCUGUUUUGCCAGUUCUUCAAAUCCACACAGUGUGGGGAUAUUCUUUAACCCAUUGUCUAGCGGAGUGGUCACUUUAAAUUAUUUGUUUAUAGGAAAAGAGACAAGAAUAUAUAGACUUGUGAAGUAAUGUUACACACAAAUCGCAAACGCUAUACUCGUCUUGAGGAUGAAAUGGUAAGUGGUACUUAUCAAUGUUUAUUGUGAUUGAACCAUAGUAUUAGUACUAAUAUGAAAAGUUGUCAGUGAUUGAUUCA